AACAACCCAUGUAAUACAAUAAGGGAAAAGAUACAUAGUUGGCUUACAAUCGCCACUUCACACAAAUACAAGAAUAAAGCAUUACAUCAUCCAGAUACAAUCAGGGCCCGACUACGAAGCCAAAAUAAAAGAAGACUACCCCAAAUGCUACACAGAUCCCCGAUCGACCCCAACUGGGCUCCACUACUGAUCAACUAGAACGAAAAAAUACAAAGGACAAGAUCUUCAUUGAGCUCCUCCUUGAGCUCGGUUGCGUCAUCUGCACGGUAUCAUUGGCACCUGCAAACUGGUUUUGGAAGUAUCUGUGAGUCACGGGGACUCAGCAAUCUCACACCCUCGCGAUCAAGACUAUUUAAGCUUAUAGGUAAGGUAAUGGUAUGAGGUGGAGCUGCAGCAAGCGACUAGCAUAUAUGGUGGCUAACAUACGCAAAUGAGGGCGAGAAGAGAAGGCAAAGCACGGUCGAACAACUAUGAUCAAGAAGUGAUCCUAGAACAACCUAUGUCAAGCAUUACUCCAACACCGUGUUCACUUCCCGGACUCCGCCGGAAAGAGACCAUCACGGUUACACACGCGGUUGAUGUAUUUUAAUUAAGGUUAACUUCAAGUUUUCUACAACCGGACAUUAACAAAUUCCCAUCUGCCCAUAACUGCAGGCACGGCUUUCGAAAGUUCAAAUCCCUGCAGGGGUGUCCCAACUUAUCCCAUCACAAGCUCUCAUGGUCAACGAAGGAUAUUCCUUCUAGCGGGAAGACCCGAUCAGACUCGGAAUCCCGGUUACAAGACAUUUCGACAGGUAAAACAAGACCAGCAAAGCCGCCCGAUGCGCCGACAAAUCCCGAUAGGAGCUACACAUAUCUCGUUCUCAGGGCACACCGGAUAGGUCAAGCUACGAGUAAAACCAACCCUCGAGUUGCCCUGAGGUGGCCCCGCAGGCUGCCCGUUUCGGACCAACACUCAGAGGAGCACUGGCCCGGGGGGGUUAAAACAAAGAUGACCCUUGAGUCCGCGAAACCCAAGGGAAAAGAGGCUAGGUGGCGAAUGGUAAAACCAAUGUUGGGCAUUGCUGGAGGAGUUUUAUUCAAGGCGAACUGUCAAGGGGUUCCCAUUAUCACCCAACCGAGUAAGGAAUGCAAAAUCCAGGAACAUAACACCGAUAUGACGGAAACUAGGGCGGCAAGAGUGGAACAAAACACCAGGCAUAAGGCCGAGCCUUCCACCCUUUACCAAGUAUAUAGAUGCAUUAAUAAAUAAGAGGUAUUGUGAUAUCCCAACAAGUAAACAUGUUCCAACAAGGAACAACAUCUCCAUGUUCCAACAAGGAACAAAACUUCAAUCUUCACCUGCAACUAACAACGCUAUAAGAGGGGCUGAGCAAAGCGGUAACGUAGCCAAACAACGGUUUGCUAGGACAAGGUGGGUUAGAGGCUUGGUUCAACAAAAUAGGAGGCAUGAUAAGCAAGUGGUAGGUAUCGCAGCAUAGGCAUAGCAAAAGAGCGAGCAUCUAGCAAGCAAAGAUAGAAGUGAUUUUGAGGGUAUGGUCAUCUUGCCUGAAAUCCCGCAAGGAAGAAGAACGAGUCCAUGAAGAAGACAAACGGACGUAGUCGAACGGUUCCUCACAAACGCGACGUUAUCGGAACCAACCCGAAGAAGCAACACCGGAAAAGAGCAAACAACAUAGUAAACAACCACCACAUAAGCAUGGCACGAUGCGCAAACAAGUAUGAUGCAUGUCCGGUUU
rnacentral:lncRNA from 1 species